UGGGAGGCCGAGGCAGGAGAAUCACUUGAACCUGGGAGGCGGAGGUUGCAGUGAGCCAAGAUUGCACCACUGCACUCCAGUCUCAGCAACAGAGCGAGACUCCAUCUCAAAUAAGUAAAUACAUAAAUAAUUAGGAUUUUGUUCUUUUUACAUUUCUGUACGUAAUUCAAGUCUUCCUGGGGGUAAAAACUACUUACUCACUAAGGGAAUAAUUCAGUCAUUUCAAACCAUUUUUGAGGGUCUCUACUCAGCAGUUUGAUGUUGUGUAAUGAUUCAGGAUUCUUCUCUGUGACCCUGAUGGGCCAUUCCGAUUCCUAUUUAUAGAUGCUUAUCUCAAGACCUUCUGUGUGGGUAGUCUCAGAGCCCUUGGGACUGCCUUCGUCCACAACCUUGGGUUUGAGUCAUAUCACUACCGAAUUCUUCCCUCUGUUCAUGGAAAUCUGGUAACUACAUCAACGAGGUAUUUUCUACAGAACUGAUUGGGUUUUUUGUUUCUUUGCCUCAUAAGAUAUAAAAAUGUCUAAAGGCCCUGGAAUGUCACAGUAUUAAUAGCUGAUGUGUAUGGAAGGCCUACUAUGUACUGGGCAUAAUUCUAUGUGUUCUUCAUUUGUUAAUUCACUCAAUCCUUUUUUUUUCUUUUUUUUUUUUUUUGAGAUGGAGUCUCACUCUGUCGCCAGGCUGGAGUGCAGUGGCGCGAUUAUAUUCACCUAGAAGUUUGUGAACACUGUUCCUCUUUCAGUAAAAUCCAUGUUAUAGAUGCUGCUGGAUUUUAGGCAUCCAGAAAGGCCUGAGAUUGGCAGCUAUUUGUUGACAAUUCAAUGGGUAUAAAAGUUUCAGGCAGCAAAACUAAUGAAUGAUUUCCAACCACAGAAGCCGUCACUGGGAGAGCCAAUAAAGAUACGACAGAUCUGGCAGGAGAACAAGAUCCAGCCCAGGUGAUGGGGUGUGAGGCUUGGUCUUAGCUACAGGUAGGUCGUUUCCCUUAGCUCCUGGAUGACUCAGCUUGGCAGCCACCCAGACUUCUAUCAGGACCCAGAGGUGCUGCCAGCUCUGGAGCCAUGUCAGGCCAGCUUUCUCCCCAUGUCACCAGGGAAUGGAGAUUUUUCUGGUCUGCUGGGGCUUUUCCUAAUUCUGCACGGUCGGCUUGAGACUGUCCACCUGUUGCUCCAUCUAGGCUGCGUUGCCCUUAUGAGCCGUCUUCACAAGGUACGUUUGGAGGAUGUCAGGAUGUCUUUCAAAGGAUUUGUAGACAUGCUUUAAAGUACUUACGGAGUCAAUGUCCCCUUUGCUUCAAGCUUCUCUCCUACUGUAGGAAAUAAUGUCUACGGUGGCCCAUUUCCAAGGCAAAGUGCCUCAAAUAGGCUUGGGCCCACAACCUGCGGAUGGACAGGAUAUACUAGACCCCUGCUGGUCAGGGCCCCCUUAGUUACCCCCACCCAAAGCAAAGCGUUUAGUCUAGAAUGAAAGUUUACUAGCCUGAAAAAUAGCUCACUUUAUCUAUUCUUAUCAGCUUGCCUGGCCACCUGGGUCAUAAGUCAAAUACUUGAAGAGCACCUUAGCUGACUAUGAUUGCAGUGCAUUAUGGGCCACAACAAACUGCAGCGAGACAACCCUAAAGUAAACACCUAAAAGCCCCAACCCAACGACCAAUAGGUGAUGUCUGGGAAGAUGGUGACCCCAUGGUACUCAGCCUAUGAGGAACCGGGGGAGGGACUUGCCUACUAGGGGAUACAUUGCUUGUUGUAACUGUACUGGGUGUGCCUGCCUACCAGACACCAGAUCUUGCAAGACUGUCAUUAAAAGUCUCACUUCUGGCUGGGCGCAGUGGCUCAUGCCUGUAAUCCCAG
rnacentral:lncRNA from 1 species